rnacentral:rRNA from 1 species
CCUACGGGUGGCAGCAGUGAGGAAUAUUGGUCAAUGGCCGUAAGGCUGAACCAGCCAAGUCGCGUGCAGGAUGACGGCCCUACGGUUUGUAAACUUCUUUUAUAGGGGAAUAAAGGUAUCCACGUGUGGAUCUUUGCAUGUACCCUAUGAAUAAGCAGCGGCUAACUCCGUGCCAGCAGCCGCGGUAAUACGGAGGGUGCGGGCGUUAUCCGGAUUUAUUGGGUUUAAAGGGUGCGUAGGUUGUUUUUUAAGUCAGCGGUGAAAGUUUGUGGCUCAACCAUAAAAUUGCAGUUGAAAAUGGAAGACUUGAGUGUGUGUGAGGUAGGCGGAAUGCGUGGUGUAGCGGUGAAAUGCAUAGAUAUCACGAAGAACUCCGAUUGCGAAGGCAGCUUACUAAGGCAUAACUGACACUGAAGCUCGAAAGCGUGGGUAUCAAACAGGAUUAGAUACCCGUGUAGUC